UCCCUAAACCCAUUGAAAACAAUGCCUUUUCAGCCCGUACAUGUACAGGCUUUGUCAUUAAGGGGUUAAUAAUGACUUUAUUUGCAUAACCCUAUCAUGAAGAACAAACAGAGAAACCCUAUGGGAAUUCCAAAGUUUUAUUAAUAAAAUACUCUUGAAUUGUAAAAAAAAAAUAAAA